UUGGAGGAAAGAUCGGGGUGUACGGCGAUUAGACAAUAGGGAUCUCUGGGGAGAAGGGCAGCAUGAGAGCUGUUCGGUGGAUAAGGAGAGUUCACUUAAGAAAUAAUGGUCGAGGAAAGUUGAAGAAGCGACUACAGCCUUUAGGUGUAGGAAAGCAGGGAAGUAGUCGAGAAUGCAUUCAGUGGUUCAACCAGAGCAGAGAUUUGCGAAGACUUAGGGGGA
rnacentral:lncRNA from 1 species